CCGUCGAUAGCUCAGUUGGCAGAGCGGUGGACUGUAGAUCCAUAGGUCGCUGGUUCGACUCCGGCUCGACGGA